AUCCAUUAGAGAGAAAGAAGAAAUCACCACGAGUUGAUACCAAUUAUUUUGAUAUCUAUUUUCAUCACAAUCUAGGGUUUCUGCCGUGACCGAACUUAAAGGGGAAGAAGGUCAAAAGAAAGAUCAAAUUAGAUCAAAAACCAGUUGGGGAAAUAUUGGAGCAUAAGACAUGAAGAGGAUUUCGAACUUACGGAGAUGUUUUCUCCAGCGCAAGCGUAAACUCGCAGAGGAUCGUCCCAACGCAAGGAAAAAGAGAGAGAGAGAGAGCAGGGCGUGGUUCGGUGCGUGUCUGGCUAGCUCCUGCUCCCAGAAUUGUUUGGGGCCC
rnacentral:lncRNA from 1 species